GCAAGUCGAGCGGUAGAGAGAAGCUUGCUUCUCUUGAGAGCGGCGGACGGGUGAGUAAUGCCUAGGAAUCUGCCUGGUAGUGGGGGAUAACGUUCGGAAACGGACGCUAAUACCGCAUACGUCCUACGGGAGAAAGCAGGGGACCUUCGGGCCUUGCGCUAUCAGAUGAGCCUAGGUCGGAUUAGCUAGUUGGUGGGGUAAUGGCUCACCAAGGCGACGAUCCGUAACUGGUCUGAGAGGAUGAUCAGUCACACUGGAACUGAGACACGGUCCAGACUCCUACGGGAGGCAGCAGUGGGGAAUAUUGGACAAUGGGCGAAAGCCUGAUCCAGCCAUGCCGCGUGUGUGAAGAAGGUCUUCGGAUUGUAAAGCACUUUAAGUUGGGAGGAAGGGCCGUUACCUAAUACGUGAUGGUUUUGACGUUACCGACAGAAUAAGCACCGGCUAACUCUGUGCCAGCAGCCGCGGUAAUACAGAGGGUGCAAGCGUUAAUCGGAAUUACUGGGCGUAAAGCGCGCGUAGGUGGUUUGUUAAGUUGGAUGUGAAAUCCCCGGGCUCAACCUGGGAACUGCAUUCAAAACUGACUGACUAGAGUAUGGUAGAGGGUGGUGGAAUUUCCUGUGUAGCGGUGAAAUGCGUAGAUAUAGGAAGGAACACCAGUGGCGAAGGCGACCACCUGGACUGAUACUGACACUGAGGUGCGAAAGCGUGGGGAGCAAACAGGAUUAGAUACCCUGGUAGUCCACGCCGUANACGAUGUCAACUAGCCGUUGGGAGCCUUGAGCUCUUAGUGGCGCAGCUAACGCAUUAAGUUGACCGCCUGGGGAGUACGGCCGCAAGGUU
rnacentral:rRNA from 1 species